UACGUAGGAGGCGAGCGUUGUCUGGAAUUACUGGGCGUAAAGAGCGCGUAGGCGGCGCUGUACGACCCGUGUGAAAGCCCCCGGCUCAACUGGGGAGGGUCACGGGUAACGGCAGUGCUCUGAGUGCAGGAGAGGGAAGUGGAACUCCGGGAGUAGCGGUGAAAUGCGUAGAGAUCGGAAAGAACACCAACGGCGAAAGCACUCUGCUGGGCCGACACUGACACUGAGAGACGAAAGCUAGGGGAGCGAAUGGG
rnacentral:rRNA from 1 species